rnacentral:rRNA from 1 species
UACAGGGGGUGCAAACGUUGCUCGGAAUCAUUGGGCGUAAAGCGCACGUAGGCGGUUCGUUAUGUCGGAUGUGAAAGCCCUUGGCUUAACCGAGGAAGUGCAUCCGAAACUGGCGAGCUAGAGUACGAAAGAGGAUCGCGGAAUUCCCGGUGUAGAGGUGAAAUUCGUAGAGAUCGUAAGGAAGACCAGUGGCGAAGGCGGGUCUCUGGACAGUUCCUGACACUGAGGCACGAAGGCCAGGGGAGCAAACGGG